rnacentral:rRNA from 1 species
CAAAAUAUAUUAAUAAAUAAAUUGGUUGUAUAAAAUUAUAUUAGUUUAAUUUUGUUUAGCUGGGGCGGCUUUUAUAAAAUUAAUUAACUGUAAGUUAAAUUAAAAUAUAAAUAUAUAGAAUAAUAAGAUCCUCUUAGGUUGAGAUUAAAAGAUUAAGUU